UCUGGUGUUAAAUGUUCUAGCUGUCUC
rnacentral:piRNA from 1 species